AGUUGCUUGACUUCGAUGUUGUAGGCUCGUAGCGCUCCGUGUCAGCCUUCUUUGUUGACUCAACGAACGAUAUUUGAUGGAAUAAAAAAUGUUUUAAAACUGUGCAACUGUUGUUGUUGUUUUUUUGUACGUAACCGGUUAGUCAGAUCACAGAACGUGCGAGUUUUUCCAAUUUCCUUGAAAUUAAGUCAUUUUUAAAAUCAUCUUUCUGCAAGCCUUUUGUUAAAUGUCAUUGUCCUGUAAAUGAAACAAUUAGAUGGACCCCAACUAUUAACUUCUGUCUUAUUAAUAUGUUAAACGCCAGUUGUCGUUUCAUGAACUAUGACAUCGCUCUUUGAAACCAAGAGCUAUAACCAAAGAUGGUGCCUCCGUUCCUUUGUGCCUCUGUUGUUGCCUUUAAGCUACAACACGGAUGAUUCUUUGUCAUAGUGAUUCUUUUGUCGUAGCCUGUCUGUCUGCCUGCCUGUCAGCCGGCCCGUUUCGGUGUAACGCAGCGAUGUUCAAUGUGCAUUCACUGGACCGGUGCAAAAAAAAAUUUGGUCACAUAAAUGUUUUAAAAUAAUGGGACUUUUUUUUUUUUUUUUUUUUUUUUUUUUUUGCGCACGAGCGUGCACUUCAUACUUAAGAGAUGCAUAUUUUCUAGCCGGAUUACAGCGCGUGAGCUGGAGUACUGAACAACGCCAGCAAGGUGGUAGACUUCGUGAGCCCGUGUAGAGAAAACACGGACGGCCACAUCUGUGUCUGGACAAAAGUAGAAGUGAGGCGACCGCCGCGCAGGGUGAACUGGACAGAGGAUGGGCAUGCCCGUGUGUCUGAUGUCACAUAAGGGUCAUUGUAUGUCGUAGGCUAUGGUCGGAGAACUUGGUUAGAGAAGAUUUCGACACCACCCAUCAGAAAACCCUGGCGAUAACUAGCAGAACGAAGAACAGUUUAAAUGAGGUCCAUAAAGACUAGUAUGCAAACGUCAGAAGAUCUAACAUUACUUACAGAAAGCCUGAGAUUUGCAUACUUUUACAUUUUAAAUAAAUAGCCUCGUCAUCUCUAAGACUCUUGGCACGUGAGAAAACUAAACUCUUAUACAGCAUGUUUAAGACAAAAAAUCUUUGUGUAUGUUUCAUGAUCAGUCAUUUUAAGUUGUAAUAUACCAAACCUGAAUAAGGAAUAAAUUACCACCUAUUAUA